rnacentral:lncRNA from 1 species
AGCCUUUUCAAAUUUUCCAGGAAAUUGGUGGCUUCUUCCCCUAUGUUCCUAUUGCCCUUUGGGAAAAGCUUGGUUAUAGCACUUAGGAUUUACAUUUUAAUGAUUUUUUCUGUGUCUUUCUUUUCAGCCAGGCUGUGAGUUCUCUGAGGCAGCCAACUUGAUUCAUCUUUGUAUCUUUACAGCAUGAUAGCUUAACAAAUGCCGAAUGGCUGGCUAAAGAAUCAGAAUUGAGACUUCAGCUGUUUGACUCCAGCUGCUAACCUCUAGACUGUUAAGGGUAUUUGAGCUUAUACUCUAUAAACAGAAUUCAGAAUCCUCCGGAGGCCCACCCAGCCCACUUCAUCCAGCCUCUGUGUCCUGGGAGGUCUUUACAUGUGAGAACGGUAAGGCCUAAGCCUCACAGAAGAGAAGACCAGCUGUGUAAAAAUUAACUAAUGAAGUCCAGGAUCAUAGAAAUAGAAUUGUGGUAUGUGGUUACUUCUCUUCAUGAAGAUUUACUAUCUAACCUGAACAGACAUGCUGCUGUGUGACAGGAAUUUAUUUACUGUUCAAACCUGACCUUUUCCCGUGUGGUGGGAGAUUGCAUUACACUGGGUGGCUUGGAGAUUUAUUGUCUCUGUUUGGCUGCAGUGGCAUUUCCUGACUAUUGGCUGCUGAGACCCUCCUAAACUCAAGCACAGAAAAUCCUGACCUCAAAGUCCCUCCUCCAACUGGGGGCAGAUUUCUUGAGGGCAAAGUAUUAAUAGAUUUAAAGGACAAGUUUGCAUGGAAGCAAGUGAAAGCACAGGGGACAGUGUAAUGAUAAAAACACACAGGUUGCCUUCUCACCUCCCAUGCAAACUAAGACAGAUAAGUUCAAGCAGGCUUGAGACCCCGGGAACCCUGCAGGCAGGUGGCAGAUGCAAGAUCUGAAACCACAAGGAAAUGAAAUAGGACUCCUCUCUCCCUCGCCCCCUCCUUAAUUGUCUCUCUACUCCAUAUCUAGGUCACAGCAUCAGUUUUCCAAACCAGAGAAGAGUCUCAAAGUGUCUUCUGCAAAUGGCACCAAUCUCAGGUGUUACUCAUGCCUUUCUGAGAAAAUGUCUUGAAUAUUUCAUCAAAUGUGAGGGGAAAAAUCCAUAAAUGUGAGCAUAUUUUUAUUGUAAACAACUUGUUACACAACUGUUAUUGAAUUCUUCUAAUGGAGCAAGGUCCUCUGUGACUUUGGUUUUCACUAUUACUCAGAUCCUUUGUGGCUUUGGUUUUCACAAGCUCUCUAUCCCCAAAUCUCUCCACUGGAAGAACUUUUAGUUUCCCUAAGUUCCCAUGGCUGAAUUCACGGGAUUUGAAGGUACAGAAGCAUCUCUCACUUGCCAGCAACUGCGAGUUUCCAAAAUAGCCCUUUGAUGAGGGCCUGAUUCCCACUGUCAUACAUUAACACUUCAGAGGUAGUAUUUCCUAUUCCUGCAACUUGCUCUGAGCCUUGGGAAAAUUACUUAACCUCCCUGGGCCUUUUUUCUCAUCUGUAGUAAAGGAAUAAUAAUAUCUACUUUGUGGGUCAUUGUGGAGAUAUAUGUUAUAAGGUUCUGUUUGUACUAUCUAGCACAGAGCAAGCCCAUAUAUAAUGCCUAUUAUAAUUACUUUCCUUAAAAUUAUAUGACGACCCUACGUAACUAAAGUCAGGAGGUGCUAUUACAGUGAAUGGUUACAGACCUGAAUAAC